UACGUAGGUGGCGAGCGUUGUCCGGAAUCACUGGGCGUAAAGCGCACGUAGGCGGCUUUCUAAGUCAGGGGUGAAAUCCUGGAGCUCAACUCCAGAACUGCCUUUGAUACUGGAGAGCUUGAGUCCGGGAGAGGUGAGUGGAACUCCGAGUGUAGAGGUGAAAUUCGUAGAUAUUCGGAAGAACACCAGUGGCGAAGGCGGCUCACUGGCCCGGUACUGACGCUGAGGUGCGAAAGCGUGGGGAGCAAACAGG
rnacentral:rRNA from 1 species